AGAGUUUGAUCCUGGCUCAGGAUGAACGCUGGCGGCGUGCCUAAUACAUGCAAGUCGAGCGAACGUCAUAGAAGCUUGCUUCUAUGACAUUAGCGGCGGACGGGUGAGUAACACGUGGGCAACCUGCCUGUAAGACUGGGAUAACUUCGGGAAACCGAAGCUAAUACCGGAUAGGAUCUUCUCCUUCAUGGGAGAUGAUUGAAAGAUGGUUUCGGCUAUCACUUACAGAUGGGCCCGCGGUGCAUUAGCUAGUUGGUGAGGUAACGGCUCACCAAGGCAACGAUGCAUAGCCGACCUGAGAGGGUGAUCGGCCACACUGGGACUGAGACACGGCCCAGACUCCUACGGGAGGCAGCAGUAGGGAAUCUUCCGCAAUGGACGAAAGUCUGACGGAGCAACGCCGCGUGAGUGAUGAAGGCUUUCGGGUCGUAAAACUCUGUUGUUAGGGAAGAACAAGUACGAGAGUAACUGCUCGUACCUUGACGGUACCUAACCAGAAAGCCACGGCUAACUACGUGCCAGCAGCCGCGGUAAUACGUAGGUGGCAAGCGUUAUCCGGAAUUAUUGGGCGUAAAGCGCGCGCAGGCGGUUUCUUAAGUCUGAUGUGAAAGCCCACGGCUCAACCCGUGGAGGG
rnacentral:rRNA from 1 species